rnacentral:rRNA from 1 species
UAGGGAAUAUUGGUCAAUGGAUGCAAGUCUGAACCAGCCAUGCCGCGUGCAGGAAGAAGGCCUUCUGGGUUGUAAACUGCUUUUGUCAGGGGAUAAAAUGAGCGUGCGCGCUUAAUUGAAGGUACCUGGCGAAUAAGCCACGGCUAACUACGUGCCAGCAGCCGCGGUAAUACGUAGGUGGCAAGCGUUGUCCGGAUUUAUUGGGUUUAAAGGGUGCGUAGGCGGUUAUAUAAGUCAGUGCUGAAAUAUCCCAGCUUAACUGGGAGGGUGGCAUUGAUACUGUAUGACUUGAGUAGAGUUGAGGUUGGCGGAAUUGACGGUGUAGCGGUGAAAUGCUUAGAUAUCGUCAAGAACACCGAUAGUGAAGACAGCUAACUAAGCUCUAACUGACGCUGAGGCACGAAAGUGUGGGGAUCAAACAGGAUUAGAUACCCUGGUAGUCCACGCUGUAAACGAUGGGUGCUCGGUGUCGCGGGUAUCGACCCCUGCGGUGCC